GACGAACGCUGGCGGCGUGCUUAACACAUGCAAGUCGAACGGAAAGGCCCUGCUUUUGUGGGGUGCUCGAGUGGCGAACGGGUGAGUAACACGUGAGUAACCUGCCCUUGACUCUGGGACAACAUCAGGAAACUGGGGCUAAUACCGGAUAGGAGCUCCUGCUGCAUGGUGGGGGUUGGAAAGCUUCGGCGGUUGGGGAUGGACUCGCGGCUUAUCAGCUUGUUGGUGGGGUAGUGGCUUACCAAGGCUUUGACGGGUAGCCGGCCUGAGAGGGUGACCGGCCACACUGGGACUGAGAUACGGCCCAGACUCCUACGGGAGGCAGCAGUGGGGAAUAUUGCACAAUGGGCGGAAGCCUGAUGCAGCAACGCCGCGUGCGGGAUGACGGCCUUCGGGUUGUAAACCGCUUUCGCCUGUGAAGAAGCGAGAGUGACGGUAGUGGGUAAAGAAGCACCGGCUAACUACGUG
rnacentral:rRNA from 1 species